AAACGCUUGAAGUCAGUCGCGUUUGCCGAGACUCAGCCGCAAGGUGUACUUCUCGGUGGACGGGCCAGCAUCACUUUCGAUCAUCGGAAAAGGGCGAGUGGAAUGUGGCACCUCCGGGUGUGUUAUAGCCUCUCGUCGUAUACGGUGACCGGGAGUGAGGACCGCCUUUGUAGGAUGCUGGCGUAAUGGCUUUAAACGA
rnacentral:rRNA from 1 species